AAGUGAGAGCCAAGGCAGGAAUAGUCUGACUGUUACAAGUCCCAAUCUCUGUCCCGUACCAUUUACAACUUUCAAUGGGGUAAGACAUUUUGGUGUUCCAGACCAGCAACAGGCCCCAAGGCCCAAGACACUUUUUGGGGUAGAACCAUGUGCACAACCAUGAUGGUCCUGACCGCCAUUGCUGUCAUCCUGCGGCAGAGGUUCUCCAAUAAAAUCAAACCGCAGAAUGAGAAUGCUGAUAUGGAAAUGCCGUACAUGAAGAGCAAUGGGACAAUGGAGACCCCACAAUGACAACAACUAAAGAUGUCGGCCUACUCCCUACAGAUGACGACUCUGGAGAAUGUAUAAAGGAACAUGGCCGACACAAACAGUCAGAGCUGUUCUGAUGUGGCCUCGCCCUCGAUGUUCAGCAGGGUUUUCAUUCCUGAAGCGGGAAGUGUCAGCAGAGGUUCAAAUUCCACUGGAAGAAGGAUGAUACAUGACAAAUGCUGAAUUUGAGCCAUUAGACAUUAUUCAUGACCUUCAGGCUUGUAUUUUUCUUGUUUAAGGGGAGUAUGUUUCUGAUUCAUGCAUAAAAAAAGGUCAGGAACUGCAAAGUGCACUUUAAAAAAAAUGUAUUCUCCACAAUUAAAUUAAUUAUUUUAAAGUCCAGGGUUUUAUUCUGCCAUUAAAGUACAAAAAAACCAACUUCAUCUUUUCUUUAAAAGAAAAGAAAUGUGGACUUGGAAUCAAUUCAGACUUAGAUCGCAAUUUUAAUAAUUUUAAUCUCAGCAAUGAAAUCACAAAAGACUUGAUGCUCAAAUUAGACUUUAAUACCAUUGACUCCAUUGACUCAUAUAUUCUUCCAGGCUUAAGCCUUUUAAAUAUUUGAUUUCUUCCACCAAACGUAAAUGUGUCCCUUAAGCAUUCCUUCAGUUGACUAAAGAUUAUUUUACUGAUUUUCAGUCAGCUUACACUAACUUCCCAAAGUUCCUGGAAUUGACACAACAACCAGUGAAGUUGCAGAUAAAAAGCAUGAAGAAAUCCAACGAUGUUACCCAGUGCCAUAUGGAGAAAAUUGGCACCAUGGCAUGUCCUCAAAGUAUAAACCUUGAAAUAUUUUUUUUUUAAAUAAUUGAACUUGCUGAAUUGUAAAUAAAAUCAAAGCCUUAACCGUGAAACAUUCUUAAACUAACUUUUCAAUAAUAUAGUUUCCAGUUAAUUUUCUGCAAUUUAAUAAAACACCUCUUAGAAAAAAAAAUAGUUGAACUAACAAAGCUAUCUUGUGUUAUUAUGUUCCUACAUGAAAUCCAGUCAUUUAAUAAACACAUGACUUUUAUCAACCUAAACCUCUUUUUCUUAUUUUAGUUCAAUUAGAAUUACCAUUUCUGUUUCUUUCAAAAUAUCGGAAAGAAGCAAAAGUAAUAAUAUUUUGCCUUCUAAACUAUGUCAAACGUUUUAGAAAUCCUUCCUCCAGGAGGUUUGCUGGAAAUUUAGACAUUCCUUUUGACAGAGCUAAUAUAAGUGAUUCAGAUUUUCCAAUUAUAAAACAUUUUAUCUAUUAUAAAAUGUAUUGUAUUUAUAAUAACAACUAAAAACCUUCUCUCAUGUUUUUUUUUUAGAAUUUGGGCUUCUGUUACUUUUGUGGCUCAUUCCAGCAUAUAAAUAACAAAGUAGUUCUGCAUUAACAGUUUUUUGAAACUGUAAUUAAUCAUAUAUUUAGUCAAUUAUUUGUUUCAGACUAUAAAUUGGAUGGACUUAUGCCUCUAAUGGGGACUUAAGUGAAAAGACAUCAGUGUUACAAGAAACUUGUAGGAUAAAAUACUAUCUCAGUCCCACCCUAUAAAUAGAUUAUUAUUGUUUUCAAACUCAACUUUGACCUGUACUGCACUUAAAGGGAAAGGUCAGGAUGGUAUUCAGAGAUAUUUAAAAAACAAUUGCAGAAAACAUCAAUCUAAUAAAAAAAAAGAAUAUACUGUUAAUAUUUAUGUAAUCUAGAGCAAAUGAGCAGAAUUUAUUUCUGCAGACCAAGAAUGAAGGUGUCAAAUCUGACUUUAUGUCAAAAACAUUCAAAUUAAUAAAAGACAUGUUUUUUUUUAUGACUGACAUCUAGACAUAAUUAUAUUUUUACUUAAAACAAAGUGGUUUGGCAUAGAAGGUGCUCAGACCUCUUAGUAGUAUGGGGACAAAAUGUUUUCAUUUAUUCAGCUUAUUUAAAUCUAUCUUCCUACCUCCCACAAAAAAAAAACAAACAAAAAAAACCAAGAGAAAUACUGUAAAUACAUGCUAGAUAAAUUGAAAAAAUGUGCCUCAACCACCACAAUAAGUCCUUUGACUAUGACUAGCACAUUAAAUAAGGAUGUGGGGAAACCGCAUUUAUCUUAGAAAAUCUUAGCUUUCCUGAUUUCAAAUGGCUGAGAUUAUGUACUUUGCUGAGUCAUCUUGUGAACCUUACAGCUUUAUGUUGUUGUCGCACUGUAAUCCACAUGACUAAAUAAAGCAGUG